CCACCAGAACCAACAGAACCUGGACACAACUGUUUAUCCUCUGUGAACUAUUAGCUCCUCCCAGAGCCUCUGUCCUCUAUCACGUCAAUGAAGGUGUUGAGGUGUCAGAGUCUCAGGAUGAACAGUUUUCAGGACGAGUCCAGAGUGACAAAGACGUCCUCAGAGAAGGACGAAUCAGACUCCAUGUCUCCAGACUGAGGACUGAAGACUCUGGUCUGUAUCGGUGUGAAGUGGAGUUUGAUCGUCGCUAUGGCUCUAAAACGUGUCGCCUGAACAUAACUGCAGCUGCUGAUCAGAUCCAAACUCAGAGACCAACUUUGACUCCAGAACCUGAGAGACGAGGAAGGACCUUCAUCUUCAUCCCACUGGGACUGACAGCAGCUCUGAUGGUUCUGAUCAUGAUGAGGAUUUGGUUCAGAGAGAAAAGAAGAACAAUUCUG